CAGGCGCUCGAGAAAACGGUCGUGAAGGAACUAGGCAAAUUAACCCCGUAAGUUCGCGAUAAGGGGGCCCUCCUCGCAAGAGAGGGCGCAGAGAAAAGGCUCUGGGAACUGUUUAUCAAAAACACAGCACUGUGCGAACUCGCAAGAGGACGUAUACAGUGUGACGCUUGCCCGGUGCCGGAACGUCAAAGGAGCUGGUUAGCAGUAAUGCGAAGCUAGCGACUGAAGCGCCGGUAAACGGCGGCCGUAACUAUGACGGUCCUAAGGUAGCGAAGUUCCUUGUCGGGUAAGUUCCGACGCGCAUGAAUAGCGUAAUCACUGGAGCACUGUCUCCAGGACCGACUCGGUGAAAUAGUAGUGGCGGUGAAGAUGCCGCCUACCCGCAGCAAGACGGAAAGACCCCGUGGACCUUUACUGUACGCUUGCAGCGAUCAUGGAUUUGAACUGCGUAGGAUAGGUGGGAGACUUUGAAGUUCAGCUCUCGGGCUGGACUGAGUCAUUGGUGAAAUACCACCCUGUUUGAAUUCGUGGUCUAACCUCGAUUCCCAUGAAGCUGGGCGAGGGACACUGCAUGCCGGGCAGUUUGACUGGGGCGGUCUCCUCCAAAAGUGUAACGGAGGAGUGCAAAGGUUGGCUCAGUGCGGUUGGCAACCGCACCAAGAGUGCAAAGGCAUAAGCCAGCUUUAGUGCAAGCCAUACAGGGCGAGCACUCACGAAAGUGGGCCUUAGUGAUCCGGCGUACCCGUGUGGAAGGGGCGUCGCUCAACGGAUAAAAGGUACCCCGGGGAUAACAGGCUGAUCGCUCCCGAGCGUCCAUAGCGGCGGAGCGGUUUGGCACCUCGAUGUCGGCUCUUCGCAUCCUGGGGCUGAAGGCGGUCCCAAGGGUUGGGCUGUUCGCCCAUUAAAGCGGUACGCGAGCUGGGUUCAGACCGGCGUGAGCCAGGUCGGUCCCUAUCUGCUGUAGGCGCAGGAAUGUUGAGAGGAGACUUCCCUAGUACGAGAGGAUUGGGAAGGACGUACCCCUGGUGUGCCAGUUGGACCACUCGGUCCAUAGCUGGGUAGCUACGUGCGGCAGGGAUAAUCGCUGAAAGCAUCUAAGCGAGAAGCCCCCCUCAAGAUAAACAUUCCAUGUCGCAAGACGAAAGACCCCUUGUAGACCACAAGGUUGAUCGGCCGCACGUGUAAUCGGAGAAAUCCGUUCAGCGAAGCGGUACGAACGGUCGAUCGUUUGGCCAU
rnacentral:rRNA from 1 species